rnacentral:rRNA from 1 species
AUACGUAGGGGGCGAGCGUUGUCCGGAAUGAUUGGGCGUAAAGGGCGCGUAGGCGGCCCGGUAAGUCUGGAGUGAAAGUCCUGUUUUUAAGAUGGGAAUUGCUUUGGAUACUGUCGGGCUUGAGUGCAGGAGAGGUAAGUGGAAUUCCCAGUGUAGCGGUGAAAUGCGUAGAGAUUGGGAGGAACACCAGUGGCGAAGGCGCAUUCCAGGACUGUAACUGACGCUGAGGCGCGAAAGUGUGGGGAGCAAACAAGAUUAUAUACCCUGGUAGUCCACAUUGUAAACGGUGAAGGCUAGGUGGAGGGGGUAUCUAGCCCGUCUGUGCCGCAGUCAACACAAUAAGCAUUCCGCCUGGGGAGUACGGCCGCAAGGUUGAAACUCAAAUGAAUUGACGGGG